CGAUGGAGGGGGAUAACUACUGGAAACGGUAGCUAAUACCGCAUAACGUCGCAAGACCAAAGAGGGGGACCUUCGGGCCUCUUGCCAUCGGAUGUGCCCAGAUGGGAUUAGCUAGUAGGUGGGGUAACGGCUCACCUAGGCGACGAUCCCCAGCUGGUCUGAGAGGAUGACCAGCCACACUGGAACUGAGACACGGUCCAG
rnacentral:rRNA from 1 species